rnacentral:rRNA from 1 species
AUGUAUCUCAAGGAAAAUCAAUGGAAAAAGCUCUCAACAACAAACAUCCAACAAGUAUUUUGUACGCAGAUAUUCAUUCCAAUGGAAAGGCAUGACCGCUAUGUACUAUAUGUCCUGGACAAAUACAAACACAAAGUUCGCAUUAUUGAUCCUCGAGAAACGACUCACGAGGAAUUUGAGAAAGAAAAGAUAGACAUCGACGAAUUGACAGAAGAAGAAGCAUGUCGAGUUCUUCAGGAAAAUGAAGAUGCUAAAGAAGAAAGAGAAAGACAGUUUGACGAAUAUCAUGUUCAUAAGUUGGCGAUUGUACCUAGGUUUAAAGAAGUCUUCAACAUCAUACUAGGAGAAACACUGAAUCCCAAGGGUACAAGAUGGCAAACUCAUACCGUGCAAGAUGUUCCAGUGGUAGAAAAGGGAGAAUCAACAUUUAAUGUUUUAAAGCUUGCAUUCCUCUAUAAUGGUGAAAAGUUUGUCGAAGACCUGGAAGAUUUGACAGAUGAGGUUGAAGAUUGGAGGGCAGAGGCAAUGUACAUUCUCUUAAAUAGCGAGAUGAAUCAAGUCAAAGCUAGUGAAAUGGGUGACGAGAUUAGCAAGAUCUUAAGCAAAAAUGAAGAGUAA